rnacentral:rRNA from 1 species
CAUGCAAGUCGAACGGAGUCUGCAUGAAACCUAGUGAUUGUAGACUUAGUGGCGGACGGGUGAGUAACGCGUGGGUAACCUGCCUUGUACUGGGGGACAACAGUUGGAAACGACUGCUAAUACCGCAUAAGCGCACAGCUUCGCAUGAAGCAGUGUGAAAAACUGAGGUGGUACAAGAUGGACCCGCGUCUGAUUAGCUGGUUGGUGAGGUAACGGCUCACCAAGGCGACGAUCAGUAGCCGGCCUGAGAGGGUGAACGGCCACAUUGGGACUGAGACACGGCCCAAACUCCUACGGGAGGCAGCAGUGGGGAAUAUUGCACAAUGGGGGAAACCCUGAUGCAGCGACGCCGCGUGAGUGAAGAAGUAUUUCGGUAUGUAAAGCUCUAUCAGCAGGGAAGAAAGAAAUGACGGUACCUGACUAAGAAGCCCCGGCUAACUACGUGCCAGCAGCCGCGGUAAUACGUAGGGGGCAAGCGUUAUCCGGAUUUACCGGGUGUAAAGGGAGCGUAGACGGCAUGGCAAGUCUGAAGUGAAAUGCCAGGGCUUAACCCUGGAACUGCUUUGGAAACUGUCUAGCUAGAGUGCAGGAGAGGUAAGUGGAAUUCCUAGUGUAGCGGUGAAAUGCGUAGAUAUUAGGAGGAACACCAGUGGCGAAGGCGGCUUACUGGACUGUAACUGACGUUGAGGCUCGAAGGCGUGGGGAGCAAACAGGAUUAGAUACCCUGGUAGUCCACGCGGUAAACGAUGAAUACUAGGUGUAGGGGGGCAAAGCCCUUCGGUGCCGCAGCAAACGCAAUAAGUAUUCCACCUGGGGAGUACGUUCGC